AACCAGCUGACGAGUCCCAAAUAGGAUGAAACACGCAUCCUGGGU
rfam:Schistosoma rodhaini strain Burundi genome assembly, scaffold: SROB_scaffold0014092